AUGAACCCGUGUUGCCUCCUCGUUGAACCCGUGUUUCCGCCGUGUUUACCCCAACGUUCGUUAAUCUUCUUCCUUUGUUUACCCCAAGGUUCGUCAAUCUUCUUCCUUCACUUCCGCCGAACAAACAUUAUUAUGUGUAUUUCUUUCGAUUCAGGCCUCCUUCUUUUCUGGUUGAAUUCGGUGUUUUUCUUCUACUUGUCUCAUUCGCGAGUUUCAUCGGCGCGUGUUGUCGCGUGAGAUGGCUUCUCUGGAUUUACCUUUUUCGUUAUGUUCAUUCUCAUCCUUCUUCUCUUCGUCUUCACCAUCUCUGCGUUCACCGUCACCAACAAAGCCGCCGGAAAAGUUCUCUCAAACAAAGGAUAUAAAGAGUACAGACUCGGUGAUUACUCCAACUGGCUACAGAAUCGCGUCAGGAACAACAAAGAUUGGAACAGAAUAAAAAACUGUCGACGACAAGGUGUGUGUCGAAUUCAACUAGAAAAUCGCUUCUGAAACCAUUGCGCAAUUCUACCAAGAACACUUAUCUUCAAUUCAGUUUGGGUGUUGCAAACCGGCAGAUGAGUGUAAUUUCACGUACAAGGCACCGACUCAGUGGGAAAAACCGGCGAAUGUUUCAAGUUUUUCGAAUCCGGAUUGUGGUUUGUGGGAUAAUAGACCUGAAAAGUUGUGCUUUGAUUGAGAAUCCUGCAAAGGUGGAGUGUUGGAUAAUUUGAAAAGGAACCGGAAGGUACUGGUUUAGCAGAGAAGGCGAUGGUGGUUCUGAGUAGCCUGGCUAGGAUUCAAGAGGGAAAGAAUGCGAUUGUGGAAGAGGGUGGAAUUGUUGCGCUUGUAGAAGCAAUUGAAGAUGGGUCGGUGAAAGGGAAAGAAUUUGCAAUGUUGACACUCUUGCAAUUGUGUGUUGAGAGGUGAGAAAUUGAGGGUUGCUCGUGAGUGAAGGUGGAAUUCCCCAUUUAGUUGCACUUUCUCAGACCGGAAGCGUUCAAGCAAAGCAUAAGGUGAUUACCAGAAACUGAUUAGUCGUUAAUUAUUACACGAUUUGGUUAGCUGAUUCUAUGAAAUGAACACCUUGAUGAAAAAUUGUUAAUUUUUGCAGGCAGAAACACUUCUAGGUAUAUAAGAUAACCAAGACAAGUUGCAUCAUCAUCAAGUCCUUAACAAUUGGUCUGAUAUGGUUUUUUUAGGAGGUAAUUGUAUUAUUAAGUAGUGGUAUCGUGUAUAGGAAGUGGUUUUUUUGAUGGUUUGUACAACAUGGUUGAGAAUGUUGGAAGAAUGAAGUUUAUAGAAUGAAGUUAGUGCAGUUAGUAAAGCCAAAAAGCUGACGGUUAGAGAAAAAGUUGUAUGAUUUUUAACUAGGUUAUGAGAUAUCCUUUUUAAUGACAUUCCAAUUUACUAAAUAGUGUAAUAUCACUUGGUUUGAUUUUCUGGGUUUGGGGAUUUGAUGAAAUUCUGAUUGGUGGUUGUGUGUCUUGAACUUAAAUUCUGUGGAACUCAUCACCUUUCUUGUAGCUCUAUGUGAAGUACAUUGAAGUUCUGUAAUUUACAUAAUUUAUUUUUCA